CCUACGGGAGGCAGCAGUAGGGAAUCUUCCACAAUGGACGAAACCCUGAUGCAGCAACGCCGCGUGAGUGAAGAAGGGUUUCGGCUCGUAAAGCUCUGUUGGCAGUGAAGAAAUAUCGAGGUAGUAACUGGCCUUUAUUUGAUGGCUAUUACUUCGCAAGUCACGGCUAACUACGUGCCAGCAGCAGCGGUAGUACGUAGGUGGCAAGCGGUUUCCGGAUUUAUUGGGCGUAAAGCGAGUGCAGGCGGUACAAUAAGUCUGAUGUGAAAGCUUUCGGCCCAUCCGGCGAAUUGCAUCAGAAACUGUUGAGCUUGAGUGCAGAAGAGGAGAGUGGAACUCCAAGUGUAGCGGUGGAAUGCGUAGAUAUAUGGAGGAACACCAGUGGCGAAGGCGGCUCUCUGGUCUGUAACUGACGCUGAGGCUCGAAAGCAUGGGUAGCGAACAGGAUUAGAUACCCGGGUAGUC
rnacentral:rRNA from 1 species